GGAGAGGUGGCUGAGUGGCCGAAAGCGGCGGUCUUGAAAACCGUUGACGGGCAACUGUCCGGGGGUUCGAAUCCCUCCCUCUCCG
rnacentral:tRNA from 1 species